rnacentral:rRNA from 1 species
UACACGACCGUACCGCAAACCGACACUGGUGCGCGAGAUGAGUAUUCUAAGGCGCUUGAGAGAACUCAGGAGAAGGAACUCGGCAAAUUGACACCGUAACUUCGGAAGAAGGUGUGCCUUUAGUAGGUGAACCAUUUACUAGGGGAGCCCAAUGAGGCUGCAAAAAAUCGGUGGCUGCAACUGUUUAUUAAAAACACAGCACUCUGCUAAGACGAAAGUCGACGUAUAGGGUGUGACGCCUGCCCGGUGCUGGAAGAUUAAAUGAUGGGGUGCAAGCUCUUGAUUGAAGUCCCAGUAAACGGCGGCCGUAACGAUAACGGUCCUAAGGUAGCGAAAUUCCUUGUCGGGUAAGUUCCGACCUGCACGAAUGGCGUAAUGAUGGCCACACUGUCUCCUCCUGAGACUCAGCGAAGUUGAAAUGUUUGUGAUGAUGCAAUCUCCCCGCGGAAAGACGGAAAGACCCCAUGAACCUUUACUGUAGCUUUGUAUUGGACUUUGAACAGAUCUGUGUAGGAUAGGUGGGAGGCUUUGAAGUGUGGUCGCUAGAUCGCAUGGAGCCAACGUUGAAAUACCACCCUGGUGUGUUUGAGGUUCUAACCUAGGUCCAUUAUCUGGAUCGGGGACAGUGCAUGGUAGGCAGUUUGACUGGGGCGGUCUCCUCCAAAGUGUAACGGAGGAGUUCGAAGGUACGCUAGGUACGGUCGGACAUCGUGCUAAUAGUGCAAUGGCAUAAGCGUGCUUAACUGCGAGACUGACAAGUCGAGCAGAUGCGAAAGCAGGACAUAGUGAUCCGGUGGUUCUGUAUGGAAGGGCCAUCGCUCAACGGAUAAAAGGUACUCUGGGGAUAACAGGCUGAUACCGCCCAAGAGUUCAUAUCGACGGCGGUGUUUGGCACCUCGAUGUCGGCUCAUCUCAUCCUGGGGCUGUAGCCGGUCCCAAGGGUAUGGCUGUUCGCCAUUUAAAGAGGUACGUGAGCUGGGUUUAAAACGUCGUGAGACAGUUUGGUCCCUAUCUUCCGUGGGCGCUGCAGAUUUGAGGAAGCCUGCUCCUAGUACGAGAGGACCGGAGUGGACGAACCUCUGGUGUAUCGGUUGUCACGCCAGUGGCAUUGCCGAGUAGCUAAGUUCGGAAGAGAUAACCGCUGAAAGCAUCUAAGCGGGAAACUCGUUUCAAGAUUAGAUCUGCCGGGGCCUUGAGCCCCCUAAAGAGUCGUUCAAGACCAGGACGUUGAUAGGUCAGGUGUGGAAGCG